AUGCAUUUAACAUAUACUGUACACAACCUCUACCAGGAACACUAUCCUCUACUAGGAACACUAUCCUCUACUAUCCUCUACCAGAUACACCAGCCUCUACCAGAUACACCAGCCUCUACCAGAUACACCAGCCUCUACCAGAUACACCAGCCUCUAAUAUCCUCCACCAGAUACACCAGCCUCUACUAUCCUCCACCAGGAACACCAGGCUCUACUAUCCUCCACCAGGAACACCAGCCUCUACCAGGAACACCAGCCUCUACUAUCCUCCACCAGGAACACCAGCCUCUACUAUCCUCCACCAGGAACAUCAGCCUCUACUAUCCUCCACCAGGAACAUCAGCCUCUACUAUCCUCCACCAGACAUACAAGACCACUGAUAAUCUCCCUCGAUCUGGGGCUCCACGCAAGAUCUCACCCCGUGGGGUCAAAAUGAUUACAAGAACGGUGAGCAAAAAUCCCAGAAUCCCAGAACCACACAGUGAAUGACCUGCAGAGAGCUGGGACCAAAGUAACAAAGCCUACCAUCAGUAACACACUACGCCGCCAGGGACUCAAAUCCUGCAGUGCCAGACGUGUCCCCCUGCUUAUUAAGCCAGUACAUGUCCAGGCCCAUCUGAAGUUUGCUAGAGAACAUUUGGAUGAUCCAGAAGAAGAUUGGGAGAAUGUCAUAUGGUCAGAUGAAACCAAAAUAUAACUUUUUGGUAAAAACUCAACUCGUCAUGUUUGGAGGACAAAUAAUGCUGAGUUGCAUCCAAAGAACACCAUACCUACUGUGAAGCAUGGGGGUGGAAACAUCAUGCUUUGGGGCUGUUUUUCUGCAAGGGACGACUGAUCCGUGAACAGGAAAGAAUGAAUGGGGCCAUGUAUCGUGAGAUUUUCAGUGAAAACCUCCUUCCAUCAGCAAGGGCUUUGAAGAUGAAACGUGGCUGGGUCUUUCAGCGUGACAAUGAUCCCAAACACACCGACCGGGCAACAAAGGAGUGGCUUCGUAAGAAGCAUUUCAAGGUCCUGGAGUGGCCUAGCCAGUCUCCAGAUCUCAACCCCAUAGAAAAAUUUGGGAGGGAGUUGAAAGUCCGUGUUGCCCAGCAACAGCCCCAAAACAUCACUGCUCUAGAGGAGAUCUGCAUGGAGGAAUGGGCCAAAAUACCAGCAACAGUGUGUGAAAACCUUGUGAAGACUUACAGAAAACGUUUGCUAACAAAGGGCAUAUAAACAAAGUAUUGAGAUAAAAAGUUUAUUGACCAAAUACUUAUUUUUCACCAUAAUUUGCAAAUAAAUUCAUUAAAAAAUCCUACAAUGUGAUUUUCUGGAUUUUUUUAUCUCAUUUUGUCUGUCAUAGUUGAAGUGUACCUAUGAUGAAAAUUACAGGCCUCAUCUUUUUAAGUGGGAGAACUUGCACAAUUGGUGGCUGACUAAAUACUUUUUUGCCCCACUGUGUGUGUGUGUGUGUGUAUGUAUGUAUGUAUGUAUGUAUGUAUGUAUGUAUGUAUGUAUGUAUGUAUAUAUGUAUAUAUAUAUAUAUAUAUAUAUAUAUAUACACACACACACACAGAAAAAUAAAUAAAGGGAACACUAAAAUAACACAUCCUAGAUCUGAAUGAAUGAAAUAUUAUUAUUAAAUACUUUUUUCUUUACAUAGUUGAAUGUGCUGACAACAAAAUCACACAAAAAUGAUCAAUGGAUAUCAAAUUUAUCAACCCAUGGAGGUCUGGAUUUGGAGUCACACUCAAAAUUAAAGUGGAAAACCACACUACAGGCUGAUCCAACUUUGAUGUAAUGUCCUUAAAACAAGUCAAAAUGAGGCUCAGUAGUGUGUGUGGUCUCCACGUGCCUGUAUGUCCUCCCUACCUCCCUGGGCAUGCUCCUGAUGAGGUGGCGGAUGGUCUCCUGAGGGAUCUCCUCCCAGACCUUGACUAAAGCAUCCGCCAACUCCUGGACAGUCUGUGGUGCAACGUGGCAUUGGUGGAUGGAGCGAGACAUGAUGUCCCAGAUGUGCUCAAUUGGAUUCAGGUCUGGGGAACGGGCGGGCCAGUCCAUAGCAUCAAUGCCUUCCUCUUGCAGGAACUGCUGACACACUCCAGCCACAUGAGGUCUAGCAUUGUCUUGCAUUAGGAGGAACCCAGGGCCAACCGCACCAGCAUAUGGUCUCACAAGGGGUCUGAGGAUCUCAUCUCGGUACCUAAUGGCAGUCUGGCUACCUCUGGCGAGCACAUGGAGGGCUGUGCGGCCCCCCAAAGAAAUGCCACCCCACACCAUGACUGACUCACCGCCAAACCGGUCAAGCAGGAGGAUGUUGCAGGCAGCAGAACGUUCUCCACGGCGUCUCCAGACUCUGUCACGUCUGUCACAUGUGCUCAGUGUGAACCUGCUUUCAUCUGUGAAGAGCACAGGGCGCCAGUGGCGAAUUUGCCAAUCUUGGUGUUCUCUGGCAAAUGCCAAACGUCCUGCAUGGUGUUGGGCUGUAAGCACAACCCCCACCUGUGGACGUCGGGCCCUCAUACCACCCUCAUGGAGUCUGUUUCUGACCGUUUGUGCAGACACAUGCACAUUUGUGGCCUGCUGGAGGUCAUUUUGCAGGGCUCUGGCAGUGCUCCUCCUUGCACAAAGGCGGAGGUAGCGGUCCUGCUGCUGGGUUGUUGCCCUUCUACGGCCUCCUCCACGUCUCCUGAUGUACUGGCCUGUCUCCUAGUAGCGCCUCCAUGCUCUGGACACUACGCUGACAGACACAGCAAACCUUCUUGCCACAGCUCGCAUUGAUGUGCCAUCCUGGAUGAGCUGCACUACCUGAGCCACUUGUGUGCGUUGUAGACUCCGUCUCAUGCUACCACUAGAGUGAAAGCACCGCCAGCAUUCAAAAGUGACCAAAACAUCAGCCAGGAAGCAUAGGAACUGAGAAGUGGUCUGUGGUNNNNNNNNNNGGAGGAUGUUGCAGGCAGCAGAACGUUCUCCACGGCGUCUCCAGACUCUGUCACGUCUGUCACAUGUGCUCAGUGUGAACCUGCUUUCAUCUGUGAAGAGCACAGGGCGCCAGUGGCGAAUUUGCCAAUCUUGGUGUUCUCUGGCAAAUGCCAAACGUCCUGCAUGGUGUUGGGCUGUAAGCACAACCCCCACCUGUGGACGUCGGGCCCUCAUACCACCCUCAUGGAGUCUGUUUCUGACCGUUUGUGCAGACACAUGCACAUUUGUGGCCUGCUGGAGGUCAUUUUGCAGGGCUCUGGCAGUGCUCCUCCUUGCACAAAGGCGGAGGUAGCGGUCCUGCUGCUGGGUUGUUGCCCUUCUACGGCCUCCUCCACGUCUCCUGAUGUACUGGCCUGUCUCCUAGUAGCGCCUCCAUGCUCUGGACACUACGCUGACAGACACAGCAAACCUUCUUGCCACAGCUCGCAUUGAUGUGCCAUCCUGGAUGAGCUGCACUACCUGAGCCACUUGUGUGCGUUGUAGACUCCGUCUCAUGCUACCACUAGAGUGAAAGCACCGCCAGCAUUCAAAAGUGACCAAAACAUCAGCCAGGAAGCAUAGGAACUGAGAAGUGGUCUGUGGUCCCCACCUGCAGAACCACUCCUUUAUUGGGGAAUGUCUUGCUAAUUGCCUAUAAUUUCCACCUGUUGUCUAUUCCAUUUGCACAACAGCAUGUGAAAUAUAUUGUCAAUCAGUGUUGCUUCCUAAGUGGACAGUUUGAUUUCACAGAAGUGUGAUUGACUUGGAGAUUGUGUUGUUUAAGUGUUCCCUUUAUUUUUUUGAGCAGUGUAUAUAUAUAUAUAUAUAUGAAGAAAAAAAUACAGUUAAAAGUAAAAGAUUUUUGUUGCAUUUCAGCUAACUCUACCCCUCACCUCCUUCUCAUAACAAGUCCAAUCUGACGUGAAUUUGAUCAAAUCUGGACACUUGCAGCCAUGAUAACCGGCCCACCAGCCGUGUCUGAACGGCGCGGUGGGACCGGGGACUGCUGGCAGCUACAACGUCAACAUUAGCGCAUUACAGUUUCAUGUCUGGGAAACAGUCCCCAGCACGUCGAAACACGCGGAUGGUUUACCUAACAAUAUAAAUGAUGUAGUUACAGACUGACUUUAUAGCUAACGCAGUGACAGCCGCCGGUAAUUGAGGCGUUAACGUUACUAGCCUGAUAAAUUAACGGACAAAACAACAGCUAACAUCCACUCCAGCACCGAAAGGAACUGGUGAAAACAGCCCGUUUCAACAGCUUGGUAAACAACCCAAUAUGAACCCGAUACAUUUCAUCAAGGACAACAGUUGCUGCCUCAAAAUAAACACAGUUCGCAUAAAUAAUCUGGAACAGGCAGAUAGCUAGCCAGCUAGUUUAUCAGCACCACUAGUAUUAGCCUAGCUGCUCCUUUAGCAUGCAUGUUGUCUCACCGUUAUAUAGUCUCAGUCCCAGUUUCAUACAUUUUGCUGGGAUAUAAACAGCCUUCCAUUCCAUGCAGAAGCUAUAAUAGUGAACUAACCUCACUACUAACGCUGGUCACCUCCAUUUUGUCCCAGGGUUCGUGCGGCUGGGAGAACGGCAUCGUAGUCGGAGAUAGACCGCUGCUCCAAGCCGAAUCCCGCCCGCUGAUAGCCCACCGGAGAUUCUGCCUUCACGGUCGGGCACGAGACAGAUCUGGGUCACCGGCGCCUACUGCCCGGGGAAGAUCAGACACCGGGGUCGGGACAGUUGGUUUGACAGGACCAUAUGGCAACCGAUUUUACGUUCUUCUCCCAUAGAUUAAUAUGGGCGUCUCUAUCCUCAGCAUCAAUGCACUGAGAGGCCAUUGACGUAGCUCUGACGCAAUUCAGUUAAGGAUUUCCCCCAUAAUAGGCAAACAAAGCAGGGAGCGCAGAGCAGAGGGGAAGAGGACAGAAGAGAAGUGCAGAGGGGGAGGGGAAAGAAGAGAAGUGCAGAGGGGGAGAGGAAAAGAGAAUAGCAGAGGGGGAGAGGAAAGAAGAGG
rnacentral:lncRNA from 13 species